UGCGAUAAUGGUUCUUGCCAUCUAAUGGCAAGAUUAAAAGGGAAUCGGGUGGAAAUCCCGAACAGUCCCCGCUGCUGUAACUCCAUUAAGCGGCUCGCUUAUUGCCACUGAGCUAUUAUGCUUGGGAAGGCGCGAUGCCUGGAGAAGUCAGAAGACCUGCCUUAUCG
rnacentral:ncRNA from 1 species